GCUACUUUUUAAAAUUGUUAGCACCUUGAUAGAAUAGCAUGAUAUUGAGACACGGUUUGCUUAAAGUCAAUACUCAAUAGUCAAUUUGCACUCUUGAACACUGUAGUGCUUACAAACCAGGGACCGCGGAGACGGGGGGGCUGGGGGGGCUUUAGCCCCCCCACUUUUUUUGACAGCCAAAAUUAUUAAAAUAGAAAUCUAAAUGAAACUUUCUAAAUUAAUUAAACCUUUUCUAGGCAUUCUUAACUUUCGCA